GGAGGAGUGGCCGAGUGGUCGAAGGCAGCGGUUUUGAAAACCGCCGACGGCGCAAGUCGUCCAGGGGUUCGAAUCCCUUCUCCUCCG
rnacentral:tRNA from 1 species